CUGCUCUCAGAUGCACCCGUAUCUCUCCCCUUCUCUGAUGCCACCCCUUACAUGAUUCUACAAUUUCGGACAGAGAUGAAGAACGAAUAUUGUCAAGAGUGUUGUUGGUGCUGGUGACCACUGUUCUUGUCUUGUUCUGGAUGCGAUUUGGGUUCUGGAGUUGAGGAGUGAGAAAUGGCAGGGUCGUGGUGGGUAACUUAGACGUCCAAAUGGAUUAGAGAAGUGCUUUGUCAGGGUGCUCAGGAGAGAUUGAAGAACACCCAGAGCCUCAAAAUGGUUUUCCCUCAGUCAGCAUUAUUUUGAACGCCUAGUGACAUACCGACCCAAAAGAGGAAUCCAAAAUCCCAGAGAAAGAAGAAGAAUUGGGUCGACUACACGACGAUAAGUGUGUCACCCAUGAAAUAUUUGAUUUUGGUCCUCCAAUACACUGCAGUUCUACUCUUCUCCCACCUCGUAAGUCAUUGGCCUAAGAGCCGCAUAUGCAUAUCUUAACAGUUCGGAAUAUUUUACCACAGCACCCCUUAUGGGUUCCCAAACCAUACGUGGACUUCUUAAUAGUGUUUUCAUUUGAAAUUGACCCAUAGUCGGAUGUUCCAGACAAUAAUAAGACUCUUUAUACGAUGAGGCGUCUUCAGUUGGACAAGAUCAGUCUCUUUGCUUUUUUGUGGCAACUUCUUUGGGGGUUCAACAGAAUUGUCC